rnacentral:rRNA from 1 species
GACAGAGGGUGCAAGCGUUAAUCGGAAUUACUGGGCGUAAAGGGCGCGUAGGUGGUUAAUUAAGUCAGAUGUGAAAUCCCUGGGCUUAACCUAGGAAUUGCAUAUGAAACUGAUUGUCUAGAGUUCGGGAGAGGGAAGUGGAAUUUCCGGUGUAGCGGUGAAAUGCGUAGAUAUCGGAAGGAACACCAGUGGCGAAGGCGACUUCCUGGCCCGAUACUGACACUGAGGCGCGAAAGCGUGGGGAGCGAACAGG